UACGGGGGGGCGAAGCGUUGUUCGGAAUUACUGGGCGUAAAGCGCGUGUAGGCGGCUCUUCAAGUCGAGUGUGAAAGCUCCAGGCUUAACCUGGGAACUUGCGCUCGAUACUGUUGAGCUAGAGUGUGGAAGGGGCUACUGGAAUUCCGUGUGUAGCGGUGAAAUGACGGUAGAUAUACGGAGGAACACCUGCGGCGAAGGCGGC
rnacentral:rRNA from 1 species